AAUAGGUACUAACCUCAAUAGUUUUAACUACUGGCUUAUUUAAAAGUUGUAAUUGUCUGUCCAAUGCUUCAUUCCUUUACCUGUGAUGUAAAUAAUGUGGAAGAAUUCUUUGUUUCUUCUUUGUUUCAUGUGUCAGCAUGGUUGUAUUGAUUAAUAAGAAUACAGAAAGUUCUUACAUUUCAAGACUUCCGCGACAUGACACAGGAUGAACGUGCAGAUCUGUUGACUCAUGACAUCGUUACCAUACAUGCUUGGGUCACUAUUUUUUGCAAGAAUACAGUGUAGUAGUGGCUUGAUACACGCCUUUCCACAUUGUCCGUAUUUUUCUUUUGACAAAGAGGACUCCUUAAUUAUUCACAAUUGUCAUUUUCGCUCCUAUAAUUACGUUGGAAUUCUGUGCAGCCCAUCUCUAUUAACUCCUCCAAUUUUUAUGACACAUGAACAUGGAAGAUGCAGUCACAAGUUGAUGGAUUGAAGAGGGCACAAUUCACUGAUCAAAUGCUUCCUGCUAAAGCUCUCAUACUCAAUAACUUUGGCUACAGGGUAAAAGAUCAAGACACAUUAAUCGAACUCCGAAUAUUUGAUAAACAAGAUACGCAUUUGAAGCUUAAUCUUUUUCUUUGCAGCUUGGGUUGUAUACCUCGCCCCUACACUGGUUAAGAACUGUUGAGUUUUAUGAGCUUUUCAAUUUCACACAAGGUUUCUCCAGACAAUCUAUUUGUGAUAAUCUUCUUCUUCAGGAUGAUUAAUAUACUUGAUGUCAAUUUGAGGAUUAAAAUGAUUACUCUUUUAUGUUGAAAUGGUAGAGGCUCGACACUUUCAGCUAUUUGUUCGGCACUAGGAGUUUGUACUUGAUUGAUUGAUUACGUGUUGCUUAUAGUUGUGUAAAAGGUUCCAUUAUAAUAUGGGGCUUAAGACAUAUUGUUUGCAUUUUCACCUCCAGCAGUAUUGCAAUUUGCCUAUAGUCUUCUCUUCUCCAAAGAUGUGAAAUAUUUGGUUAACUAACAGCCCCUUCUCACUAUAUCAUGAGAAUGUUAUUGCUGUUUGGCGCAGGUAGCUUAACUGCCUUACCCAUCAUUGAAAUACAAACUGAGGACAUAUCAGCCUAUAUUCCCAUCGGUGUGAUCCCUGUUACUGAUGGCCAAAAUUAUUUGCAAACAGAGCUCUUUUGGAUAAGCUCUGAACCAUAAAUUACUCUCUCAGACCCAACCACCAAAAAGUCUACCGGCAACAACUAUGGAGUUAAACAAUAUGUUGAUAUUCACAUUUGAUACAAGUAUGAUGAGAAGCAUAGCAACACCUAUACAUGACCCUUAAGAUAAAAUUCUUAAAAAGAUUGGUGAAGGUACCUUUGGUCAAGUUCUAGAAUGUUGGGACAGAGAGCAGAAGGGAUUUGUUGCCAUCAAAUUAUCCGAGGUAUUAAGAAGUAUCGUGAAGUAGCAAUGGUAGAAGUCGACGUGCUUCAAGGAAGAUAUGAUAGGAGUGGAAGCCAGUAUGUCUUUUCUAUAUUGAAUAUACUGGCUCUUCAUAUAAAUGCAAUUUUGAAUGUGAUGGUUAAAGAAGUUCCCUCGUUGCAGUUGUACACAAUUACGGAACUGAUUUGAUUAUCGUAAUCAUAUUUGCUUAGUAAGUACAUUACUGAUUUGUGGUAACCUGAUAUCCCCAGCUUUGCUAAUUCUAUGGGGACUUAAAGCUUGCAAUGAAUUUAAUGGUUUUAACAGGUAUUGGGUCCGCGCUCAAGCAUGGCCAUGCCCACCUAGUAUAUAUAUAUUUUCUAAUAUAUAAAAGAGUGAAGGAAAGUAGGAGGCGGUCAUCAUGCC